rnacentral:rRNA from 1 species
AUUGAACGCUGGCGGCAGGCCUAACACAUGCAAGUCGAACGAGCGGCGGACGGGUGAGUAAUGUCUGGGGAACUGCCCGAUGGAGGGGGAUAACUACUGGAAACGGUAGCUAAUACCGCAUACUAUCGGAUGUGCCCAGAUGGGAUUAGCUUGUAGGUGAGGUAACGGCUCACCUAGGCGACGAUCCCUAGCUGGUCUGAGAGGAUGAACAGCCACACUGGGACUGAGACACGGUCCAGACUCCUACGGGAGGCAGCAGUGGGGAAUAUGGCACAAUGGGCGCAAGCCUGAUGCAGCCAUGCCGCGUGUAUGAAGAAGGCCUUGGGGUUGUAAAGUACUUUCAGCGGGGAGGCGUUACCGGCAGAAGAAGCACCGGCUAACUCCGUGCCAGCAGCCGCGGUAAUAC